GACGAACGCUGGCGGCGUGCCUAAUACAUGCAAGUCGAGCGCAGGAAACUGACGGAACUCUUCGGAGGGAAGGCAGUGGAAUGAGCGGCGGACGGGUGAGUAACACGUAAGGAACCUGCCUCAAGGAUUGGGAUAACUCCGAGAAAUCGGAGCUAAUACCGGAUAGUUCAACGGACCGCAUGGUCCGCUGAUGAAAGGCGCUCCGGCGUCACCUUGAGAUGGCCUUGCGGUGCAUUAGCUAGUUGGGGGGGUAACGGCCCACCAAGGCGACGAUGCAUAGCCGACCCGAGAGGGUGAUCGGCCACACUGGGACUGAGACACGGCCCAGACUCCUACGGGAGGCAGCAGUAGGGAAUCUUCCACAAUGGACGAAAGUCUGAUGGAGCAACGCCGCGUGAGUGAUGAAGGUUUUCGGAUCGUAAAACUCUGUUGUAAGGGAAGAACACGUACGAGAGGAAAUGCUCGUACCUUGACGGUACCUUACGAGAAAGCCACGGCUAACUACGUGCCAACAGCCGCCGUAACAC
rnacentral:rRNA from 1 species